AUUGGCCGGUUUAAGUGCUGAGGCUUUGCGAAAGAGGAGAGCCCUCCGCAGGGUCCCCAGCUCCCCGGGACUUGAGAAGCUUGUAUUCUGUGGUGGGGACUAGCUCCAGGGAGGAGAGCUCCCAGACCCGAAGCGCACGUUUCCCAGGGACACGGCCUCCGUGCACACGUGUGGAGAGGGGAUUCCGGGCACACACGGUGGCUGUCUGAUGAUUUCAUGUGACCGCCUGACUGUCCCGUCUCCCUAGGUUUGGGUGUAGGUGAGGGUGAUAUCUGUUCACAUGUGACUCAUCUUGUUUGUGUUGAACGUGAGUGUAUUUACACUUGAGAGCAGUGCUGCCUAUCUGGAAGUCUGAGUGUCUCUGAGCCAUUGUGCAAUGCUACGUCUCUGCGUGUGUAUUUUUCUGCGAGGAUGUUGGUUCUGGGCAUGACUGUUCUUCCUCCCUGCAUGGCCGUGGGCAAGAGAGUUUGUCUCUGGUGAGGUGUGCAGGGAUAAUUGGACCGUGGUGCUCGGGAGUGCGGUCCGCGGGCUGCAUGCGCCCUGGACUGGGCAGAGCUGGAAGGAAGCUGUGCACACCCGCCUCUUCCAGGCAGCUGUCUUUCUGAGGGAGAGUGGGUGCUGUUCUUGCCUGAAACACUUCACAGAGCAAGAUGGUAGAAGGCUAAAGGAAGUGGAGAUAUUUGUCUUUCCCUGAUGGGACAGGUUGUUGACAGAACUGGAGAUGUUCGUGGGGGAGGAUUCCCCCCCCCCCCCCCAGAGGAAACAGUUUUGAAUCUUGAAGGGUGUGUAGCCCCUGCUUUUCAAGUUGGCCCCAAGGACAAAGAAGAAUGGAUGUAUACCAGCCUGAACUACUUUCUGCUGGUCCAGCUCUCCUUGGAGCUCCCCAGCAGUCAGAUGGAAGAAUCCUAGUUCUUCACAACUUGCUAGACCACUCUGCACUUGGCUGUGGGAAGGGAGAGGGGUAACUGCAGGCAUGCUUUGGUACCAACCUGGGAGGGAAGGGCUGCCUCUGACUUGCUAGUUGACUUGCUAGGGAAGACCCUUCUGGGUCUCAGUUUCCCCACCCCUUCUUUUAUGCUUUGCUUCCCCCCCCCCGCCCCCCAACUCCAGUUGGGAUUUACCCAUUUGAAAUAUCUUAGGGGUGGGAGCUGGGUGGGGAGGGAGCCACAGAUGUCCGGGAGAUUGGCAGAAGUGACACAGCAUGUGAUGGUGUUUGGGGGGGGGGCACAGGCACACCUGGAAUCAGAGUUCUUUCUUCAUUCCUACAACAAGGUGAUGGGGGGCAUAAUGUUGAGGAUUUCUUGGAAGGAAGGAACAAGAUCCUCUCAGAAGGGUGGGGGCUGGUUGCUGCUCCUCCAUGCACCUUGAGGACGCAGAUGUUUUGGUGGAAGCCACCUCACCCUCUCACCUGACCAGGUGUGUAAUUGGGGCUUUGAGGGCCCCGGGUCUAAAGGUAGCAUUGAUGGAAUAGAAAGGGUACAGACUUGGGGCUGGACAUACCUGGGUGCAAAUCCCGACAGUCACAACUGUUAAGGCCCUCGGGCUUAGUUUCCUGAUGAGUAAUAUGGGAGGGUGGGUUAAUUAAUAUCUAUCUAAAACGUUUGUUGUGAAAAUUCAUUGUUUGCCAAGUAUCUAGCACAGUGCAUGGCAUAUUGCAGACUCCAGUGUUUCCUAAGCUUAUUUCAGCAUGGAACCUCUUUUUUCCCAAGAACUUCUCUGAAUACCCUUUGACAAACCUUGCCCUGUUCAUUUGUGUUUACUCAGCAAACAUGAACUGAGCAUUUACCAUAGACCAGGCCCUGUGUGAUGUUCGUCAUCCUUAGGAACCAAGGUAGCUAGUGGCCCAGGUGGAGGUGGGGGCAGGGCUUUGUCACAGGGGCACAGGGUCUCCAACUCCAUUGUUCUUUUUUUUUUUUUUUUUUUGAUUAUUUAUUUUUGAGAAGGGGGAGGAGGGGCAGAGAGAGAGGGAGACACAGACUCUGAAGCAGCUCCAGGCUCGGAGUUGUCAGUGCAGGUCCUGAUGCAGGGCUCGAACUCAUGAACUGUGAGAUCAUGACCUGAGCAGAAGUCAGAUGCUUAACCAGCUGAGCUACCCAGGCAGUCCUCCAACACCUUUGUUCUAAUUUCAGUUUUGCCUUGACCUCAGGGUGAAUCUGCUGAACAUUAUUGGAUACUCUAGUGUUAGCCUCUAACUCCCUCAUUUUAAAGAUGGGGAAACCGAGGCCCCUAGUGGGACAGUAACUUGCCUAAGAUUGCACAACUGGUGAGUCACAGAGCUGGGACUAGAGUCCAUUUUGUUUCCACUUUGCAUUCUGUCUCCUGCUCUGUGGCUCCCAAUGCUCAGACCCCCUAGCCACUUCAUCUAACAGGUGUGGAGGCUGGAACAGUCUGGCUUGGCAAUGUCUCCCAUCCUGUGUCUCAGAUAGGAAGCAGAAAUUCUCCCCUCCUUCCCAGCAGAAAGCACAGAACUGUAGAAUCUGAGAAUGCCAACUUUGGAAGGGACCCUCAGAGGGUCUUUAAAUGCACCCUCCUUUUUCCUCUCUGGUCUGUACAUUACUCAGCCAGGUGGAGAAGGGUCUUCUUAUCUUUCUAGAUCUUCUGGGAUGCAAGUGUCGAAACUUCCCUCUGCCUCCAUUCUGGAGUCUUGUACUGGUGACUGUCACACAGCAAUACCUGUUGCCUAAUCCGUGGCUCCUCUCCUCCUUCUCAGUGGAAGUGGAGGACACGGGUCACCAGCUCUGCUCCAUUGCCUUUCCUGUAGUUGAGAUAUUAGGGAGAUUCGAGUCAUCUCCUGGGUGAUACGGUCCUGGAGCCUUCAGCUGCUAGCACUGGAUCUUUGGGAACAUUUCCACUGGGACUCCAGUCCCUAAGAUACAGGCCCUUGGAAAGGCCGGAGGAUGGGUCCUGGCUCCCUGUGGUGUGGGCCAGCGCCCUCGCUGAGCUGAGGGUAGGCGGGCCCCCAUGGGUGGGGACCCAGCUUCCUUUGACCCAAACUUCAUGGGAACAAUGGACUUCAGAGGAGUCACCAGGGGCAGGAAAUAGGAGCUGUGCUAAGGCAGGGUGACCCUCCUGCAGGAUGGGGUUGCAUAUCCGGCCGAAAGGAAAGGCAGGGUGUUGGGGGCAGUGCAGAGGGCACUGGGUAGGGCCGAUGACACAUAGGGUGGGCCUCUCCUUCCAAGGGGGCCCUUGACUCAGAGUGAAACCUGAGCUGCUUAGAGCCCAUUAUUUGAUGGAGCCGUCUGCUUUGUGUCUUACCAGCAAAGGUAUUGUGGUGUCUGCCAGUGUCAGCUCAUGCCAAGCUGACCCCUGCCAGAACCAUGAAUUCCCCUUCCCUUCAAGCCCUUCAGAGGUCUGCGUGAAUUGUCCUGGCUUGAAUAAAAGGCUAGUUUUGUUUCUUCCUGGCUGGUCUCCAUCUUGGCUUUGAGCCUUGAGUAAUAGUCGACGAGGGAGGCAAUUUGUUCAGUAGGCAGAGCUCUGGGUGGGGAGGCAACAGGCCUGGGUCAGCUGGACAACAUAAAGGGAUUUUUUUUUUUUUUUUUUUAAGCCAUCUUCAGAGCAA